CUCCGUCCCAAAAUAAGUGCAGCUAUGGGUUUUCGCGUUCAACUUUGACCGUUCGUCUUAUUUGAAUUUUUUUAAAAAAAACUUAAAAACAUAAGUCAGGAGUAAAGUACUACUCACGUUUUAUCAUCUCAUAACAACAAAAAUGCUAAUUAUAAAAAAAAUUAAAAUAAGACGAAUGAUCAAAGUUGAGCACGGAAACUCAUGGCUGCACUUAUUUUGGGACGGAGGUA
rnacentral:pre_miRNA from 1 species